rnacentral:misc_RNA from 1 species
GCAAACUUGGUCAUUUAGAGGAAGUAAAAGUCGUAACAAGGUUUCCGUAGGUGAACCUGCGGAAGGAUCAUCACUGAUUCGUCGGGGGAGAGCAGCGUGUGUGUGCGUGCGUUCGCGCGCGCACGCCACCCCGCCACCCCAACCAAUCUUUUGUGCACGGUUUCACGGUCAACGAGAGACGCCGCGCGUGUGUUGGCAAGUCGCGUGUCCCCCUCCUCCCCCGCAAUGUGGUGUGGGGUGGUAGUGGUGAGACUACUUACUUGCCAACCGCAUGCGUCUGUGCGCGUUCUCUGCGCUUACACACAAUCUCUUGUGCAAUCUGUGUCUAACACACGUUACCUAAAUAUAUUAACACAACUUUCAACAAUGGAUCUCUUGGCUCUCGCAUCGAUGAAGAACGCAGC